rnacentral:rRNA from 1 species
UGGGGAAUUUUGGACAAUGGGCGAAAGCCUGAUCCAGCAAUGCCGCGUGUGUGAAGAAGGCCUUCGGGUUGUAAAGCACUUUUGUCCGGAAAGAAAUGGCCCUGGUUAAUACUUGGGGUCUUUGACGGUACCGGAAGAAUAAGGACCGGCUAAUUACGUGCCAGCAGCCGCGGAAAUUCGAAGGGUCCAAGCGUUAAUCGGAAUUACUGGGCGUAAAGCGUCCGCAGGCGGUUGUGCAAGACCGAUGUGAAAUCCCCGAGCUUAACUUGGGAAUUGCAUUGGUGACUGCACGGCUAGAGUGUGUCAGAGGGGGGUAGAAUUCCACGUGUAGCAGUGAAAUGCGUAGAGAUGUGGAGGAAUACCGAUGGCGAAGGCAGCCCCCUGGGAUAACACUGACGCUCAUGCACGAAAGCGUGGGGAGCAAACAGG